CGAGUUAUAUAGUGUGUGUUUAGAUCUGAUUCGGAACAACCAUAUGUGUAACAGCCCGAUCCCCCGGAGUCCGACCGGGGUUAUCGAAGGGGCGUUAUGGACACGUGUCUACUCAUCUAGACAACCCUACGUGUCCCGUUACUGGUCCCGAGAGACGAGCGCAUAACCUUCUUUGAAAUACCGUCAUACCCACAUCCCUAUACUUCUACUUACAGUCCUGCGCACAGGAAAAAUGGAAAUGGAGGGGUGAGCAACAAGUUACUCAGUGAAGUGGUUCUAGACCAGCCUGCCCGCAUGACACUCUAUACUACUCCAUGCGGGAACUAGGACUGACUAGCCACUACAAUCAGUUAAUGCAUUUUCAUCAUUUCCUAAUGUUAUCUGCAAUUUCCACAAUCACUUCCAUUCAUUUCUAACAACCUAGCGAUCAAUCAAUACAAUGAUCUCACUCAUUGCCACACACGUCAAACCCUAGACUUAACCGACUCCUCUUGUCCGCCCGACCCGACCCUAUGACACCUUUAACUCCCCGUUACCCGACCAUGAGCUAAAACCCUACAAUGCACAUCCUUUUCAACUUUUCAUCUUUUCCUCUUUUCCUCUUUUCCUCUUUUCCUCAGUGGGUAGCCCCCCACUAGGCUUCUACCCCAUAUUCAUGUGGAUUCGCCACAUCUCCUAUGGGUGCUUCCAUAUUCAUGUGGAUUCGCCACAUCUCCUAUGGAUACCUAGCGUGGACUACUUACCCCACCUACAAACCUUAGACUCUCUAUAUGCUUUCCCACCCAUGCUUAACCUUAACAUCCUUCUUUCAUACUUUUACUUAUCAUUUCACUUCCUUAUCGUUUUCACUUAAUCCUCCCCAUUCCCAAUUACUUUCCCUUUUCAUUCAUACUUGAACUUGGACUAAAUCACUAGACGCCACCCGUUAUCGGUGUCACACACAAUACACAUCGCAUUCAAGUUCUACUUCAAUAACGUUUAUAAUCAUUGCUCAUCUAUCAUCCUAGCAUUUGUUCCUCUCUAGCAUCCUAACUUCAAUCACAACAACACAUGGGACAACACAACCAAACAUACAAGUAUCAACUACCAAUCAAUCAUUACCACGACAAUUCAAUUCAGUUCAUCAAGUCCCAUUUAUCAGUAUGAGGGUUCUUAUGCAUCAUGAUUCAUUCAUCUAUCAUCCUAGCAAUACCAUGUCCUAUCAACCUAACUCCCAAUCAGGGUCUAAUCAAGCCUAACUCCAACAUAAAGGAGUAUACAGAACCAUGAAAGAAGGUUGGGUUCGAAACACUCCACCUUAGCCUAGAUCUGGAUCUGGAAACAAGGAUGAAGAGAUCUGAACAGAUCUGGAACAACUAAACAAGAGAGAGACGAGAUCUGGUCACCACCACCACGGCUGCAACCACCACCACCAUCACCACAUGGCACCGGCGAGGAGGAGGGAGAGAGGAGAGAAAGAGAGGCGUGAGAGAAGAAGAGGGAAGAGGGAAAAGAGAAGCUUGACGGCUAGGGUUUCCAAGUCUCUCUAAAUCUCUGCAGAGCUUCGCUCAAGUUUCAGAAAAUGAGAGAAAAGAAUGGGCUGCAUCUCUUUAUAAAGGAAAGGGUGAAGGGAACCCUAGGUUUUUUGUGAAAUGGGCCGUAGAGAAGCCCAUUCUUUUAUGAAAAUUUUUGGGCCAGGAACCGGGCCGUUACAAUUCUCCCCCACUUGAAUGGAAUUCGUCCCCGAAUUCUAUAUGUCGAUACUCCAACUCUAACAUCCUGAACCCGAAUGGGUAAACAACUCGUCCUUUGAAAUCUAAUGGUUCAUGCAACAGACCAGGUUCCAUAUUCCUCACGGAGAUCCAACGUCCUCUUAAUUCCCAAAUCGAUUCUCCAUCAGCGUUCUCAUCCCUAGAUUGUUUUCAUCUCAUAUGCAUUUCCACAUCACCACCACUCUUGUCGACGUAAUUCUCUGAUGGUCAUGUACCUCUUCUAUCCUUUCGUACAGCAGCUCAUCAUCAACAAUUAUAUCUGCUAAGCGGUUUCUUGGAUCAUCUCAGGCUCGAGAUUCUGAUCUCCCCCACUUUGGUCCUACAUAAGGGAUUCAACAUGGUUGUUCAUACAAUCCUCAUAGGGGAUAUCCAUUUGCUUGAGUCAUAGCUAAUGUCUUGCAUGGAUUCAACUAAUAUCUGAUCCAUUAACCAACUUCCUCUCUAAGCUCCACACACAUGUACAUCACAUAGGUUGAUUGCCAUGUCCUUGGCGACCCAACAACAAAAAUAUAUUGUUAUCAUAUUCCAUUUCCAUUUUGACACAUAAAACUCUUGCAUCAAUCAUAUACGGCCUCACAUCCCACUAUUCUCAACUAACAAGUCUUAGUUGCAAAGCUCCAUUAAAACCCUCUUGGCAGUUCCUCUUCGAAUCCGGAUAAAUCUGUUUGCUGCCCACUACAAUGGCCAUUGCGACCGAUAAACUUGUCCCAUGAUCUCUUCCUUCACCGUUGUGUGGUACCCAACCACAUCUCCGUUGAUUAACUUAGCGAGCACUUCAUCUCAUGAAACUUAACGAGCUACUCCACACCGAACAUAUCCUCGUCCUCUGAGUCCUUCGGUCUGGCCAUGUUUUCCUUGAUGAACGAACCUCCUAUCAUAGCCCUACUAGUUGUACUGGUUAUACUGGUAGUACGCUCCCAUCCAUUAUCACCUAGUGUGGUUCUUCUCGCACUUCCACUCUUGUCACAACGAAACCGCCUUGUGUUAAUGACGAUGUCGCAAGUUCUCCUUGGGCUCUGAGUAUGUGAUGCUUGGUUAGCCUAUGAUCUUCUUACACCAAACAAUAGCUCUGCACCCUUUUAGAUUAGUUCAUGAUCCCAGUAAUCUUGCACGUUACAACUAUUCUUCAGAUCGGUUCUCAUUUCCUUCAGGAAGCUGUGAAUCAGUUCUCGCCCCCCUUAGAGAGUGCCUGACAAUCUCCUCAGGGGUUAUAUCUUUAUUGUAUUCCCUUACAAUCAUGUCUCUCGGGCAGAUAUCCUAGAACUAACCCUCCAUUAGAUAUAUGUCAUUCUUCGGGAAAUACUUUCAUUGACCUAUGGCCUCAACUUGUUUCACUGCACCUCUAAUGUUCCUCUAAACUCAUGAUAUCCGCCACAACCUUCACGCUCUCGGUAGUUACAUUAGUCGGGUUUCCAUCUCUGGCUUUCCUCCAACCACUCCAACUCAUGUGUCUGGCGAUGGAACUUCAUCAAUGGACGUCACCGAUGGGGUACCACCUUUCUCUUUAUGAUGCGCUGAGUCCGAGUGUAGUUCGGGUUCCACCAUGCAGGUCCACGAUACCCGUAAUUGUCACUCUGGUCGAUACUGGUUGUCGAAGACAUCCUUCAAGUAGACAUCCGAUCAGAACCAUAAUAGAAGUAUAGAUAUAGUGGGUGGUUUUGAAAUCGUUCAUAACUUUCAGAAAAAUCACAACUUUCAGAAAAAUCAAAACUUUUCACACACUCUUUUCUUUUAGUUAAAACAAUUCUCUCUUUUCUUUUUUUUUUUUUUUUUUUUUUUUAAACGUCGGAAAUGCCGAUCCCUUAGGACAGAACUAAGGGAUCUUAACCUGGCUCUGAUACCAAUUGUAACAGCCCGAUCCCCCGGAGUCCGACCGGGGUUAUCGAAGGGGCGUUAUGGACACGUGUCUACUCAUCUAGACAACCCUACGUGUCCCGUUACUGGUCCCGAGAGACGAGCGCAUAACCUUCUUUGAAAUACCGUCAUACCCACAUCCCUAUACUUCUACUUACAGUCCUGCGCACAGGAAAAAUGGAAAUGGAGGGGUGAGCAACAAGUUACUCAGUGAAGUGGUUCUAGACCAGCCUGCCCGCAUGACACUCUAUACUACUCCAUGCGGGAACUAGGACUGACUAGCCACUACAAUCAGUUAAUGCAUUUUCAUCAUUUCCUAAUGUUAUCUGCAAUUUCCACAAUCACUUCCAUUCAUUUCUAACAACCUAGCGAUCAAUCAAUACAAUGAUCUCACUCAUUGCCACACACGUCAAACCCUAGACUUAACCGACUCCUCUUGUCCGCCCGACCCGACCCUAUGACACCUUUAACUCCCCGUUACCCGACCAUGAGCUAAAACCCUACAAUGCACAUCCUUUUCAACUUUUCAUCUUU
rnacentral:lncRNA from 1 species